rnacentral:rRNA from 1 species
AACUUCUGAAUGUUGACCUCGGAUCAGGUAGGAAUACCCGCUGAACUUAAGCAUAUCAAUAAGCGGAGGAAAAGAAACCAACAGGGAUUGCCCUAGUAACGGCGAGUGAAGCGGCAACAGCUCAAAUUUGAAAUCUGGCUCUCGGGCCCGAGUUGUAAUUUGUAGAGGAUGCUUUUGAUGCGGUGCCUUCCGAGUUCCCUGGAACGGGACGCCAUAGAGGGUGAGAGCCCCGUCUGGUCGGAUGCCAAAUCUCUGUAAAGCUCCUUCGACGAGUCGAGUAGUUUGGGAAUGCUGCUCUAAAUGGGAGGUAUAUGUCUUCUAAAGCUAAAUAUUGGCCAGAGACCGAUAGCGCACAAGUAGAGUGAUCGAAAGAUGAAAAGCACUUUGAAAAGAGAGUUAAAAAGUACGUGAAAUUGUUGAAAGGGAAGCGUUUAUGACCAGACUUGGGCUUGGUUAAUCAUCUGGGGUUCUCCCCAGUGCACUUUUCCAGUCCAGGCCAGCAUCAGUUUUCGCCGGGGGAUAAAGGCUUCGGGAAUGUGGCUCUCUCCGGGGAGUGUUAUAGCCCGUUGCGUAAUACCCUGGCGGGGACUGAGGUUCGCGCAUCUGCAAGGAUGCUGGCGUAAUGGUCAUCAACGACCCGUCU